UUCUAAUGGAAAUUGUUGCUUGAUCAAAACUUUGAAGGAAGAAAGGGACUCUAAAAGCCAGAGAUUGGAAAAGAAUGCAUUUGCAGGCAUGGAGUUGAGGGCAGCCUAUGCAAGAACUUGGCGAAAAGAGGUGAAAUGAGGUGUACAGGAAGCAGCAAGUAUGCUAGUUUAUCUGGAUUGUACAAUCUAGCAAAGAGCUUUGAGGCAAGAGGAGGCACCCAAACUUUCUUGACAGGGUCAGAUUUGUUGUUCAGGAAUGUCAAUUUGGGAACUGAAUGGAAAUGUCCUGAUGUAGUUAGGAUUGUGCAAUCUAAGGUGGGCAUCACCUAGUUACAAACUUAUGUCACAAUGGAGAAAUCAGUUGAAGUUUGUUUUAUUUUUAAAGGUGAAGGACAAGAUACCAGUAUAAUCUUGGAAUGAAAGCAGAAUAUUAAUCUUAGGGUAUCUGUGUGAAUAACAUUCCAAAGAAGAAUGAGCAUCUUUGCUGUCAAGUACAUGGCAGGCACUGCAUGAAAGGCUGACUGAUGAGAAACUUUGGCAAAUCCAAGUGUAGUCGUCGCUUGACUAUGUUACUGAUGGCUCCAUUUGUAAAAAGAAUUGAGCUUCCUCCAGGCCCGCCUGGGCACCUCUUUAAGCUAAAAUGGAGUUAUGAUUUCACAAAGCUUUCCCCACUGGCUCAUAGACAUUAGGAGGUUGUCAGGAAGCUCAAUAUUGGGAUGGAAGGCCUGCUUUUUUGAAGUCAUAGAAAAUUAUCAAUUAAUGACUCCUCGAAUUGUUCCUUUCUACCUGGGUACAGCUGGAAGAAUGUCAGCCACAGAGGGAUCCAGAUUUCAUUCUUCGUUAAUUCUGUCAUCCACAGACAAUUUCUGGAUUUCACUGUCCCCUUUCUCUGUUUGCCUUUGUGUUCUGUGAAGCUGAUAACUUCAAUUAAUAGCCUGAUUAGUGAGAUCUUUAGUUCUUCCCAAGUAGCUUUCUUCAUUAUUGCAGAUACAUCAAAUCCUCUGAGCAGGGCUAUAAAGCAUCCUGGUUUUCCAUCUGUGAUAACAAGAUUUACAAGGCUAAUGUCAGUAUGCCCAACAGUGGGUAGACAUGGGCUUCUGGGAUGGUUCACAAGUUUCAAAAGUGGUCCUGCCAAGAGGAGGCAAACCAUUAGAAGAGAAGGUGGCUUUGUACAUACGAUAAAACCAACUCUGCCAAAUUCUUUAUAUGCCACUCACCUGCAACAUAACCUGUUUCUCAGAAGACAACUCAGAAGAUCUGGUCCUCCCUUCCCUUUGAGGACUUGGCACAUUUUAUCAUGAUCUUCACAGUCAAAGACUUUAGUGUAGUCAGUGAAGCAAAAGUAGAUCUUCUUUUUCUGGAAUUCCAUUGCUUUCUCCUUAAUCUAGUGAAUGCUGGCAAUUUGGUUUCGAAUUCCUCUGACCCUUAGAAAACCAGCCUGAUUUUCUGGUAAUUCUUGAUUCACAUAUUGCUGAAGCCUACCUUGAUUCAUGUAUUGCAGAAGCUUGCUGACAUGUGAAAUGAGCAUAAUUGUUCAAUAAUUGGAAUAUUCCUGAGCAUACCCUUCUUUAGGAUCGAGGUAAAUUGGUCUUUUCCAAACCAGAAACCACUAUUAAGUUUUCCAAAUUUGUUGCCAUAUUGAGUUCAGCAUUUUGAGAAAGUUUAAAAUAGCUCAUCUGGAAUUCCAUUAUCUUCUCUAGUCCCAUUUUUAGCAAUGGUUCCUAAGGC
ensembl:lncRNA